rnacentral:lncRNA from 1 species
UGCCUAAACCCAUGGGAUUCCAUGCUAAAAAUUAUUGUUAGCAUGUAAGGGAGUUGGGACGCCAAGAGUUGGCGCCCCUUGGUGUCUUGUAUGGCGCCCCUUCAUCCCUUAGAUAAGGGGCACCCCAUAUGGCAUGAAAUUAAUCCAAAAAUUAUUUUGGAUGUGGGAUUAGAUGAGGAAGAGAUGGUAAAAAUUUGAAGCGAAAAUAGAAAGAAAAAGGGAGAGA